rnacentral:tRNA from 1 species
GGACUCCUAACUUAAUUGGUAAAGUGGCGGGCUUUUAACCCGAAGAGUGUCAGUUCGAGUCUGGCGGGGUUC